CCUACGGGGGGCUGCAGUGGGGAAUUUUGGACAAUGGGGGCAACCCUGAUCCAGCCAUGCCGCGUGCGGGAAGAAGGCCUUCGGGUUGUAAACCGCUUUUGUCAGGGAAGAAAUCUUCCGAGCUAAUACCUUGGGAGGAUGACGGUACCUGAAGAAUAAGCACCGGCUAACUACGUGCCAGCAGCCGCGGUAAUACGUAGGGUGCAAGCGUUAAUCGGAAUUACUGGGCGUAAAGCGUCAGCAGGCGGUUGAAAUCCCCGGGCCUAAGCUGGGAACGGGAAUUGGGACUGUACGGCUGGAGUACGGCAGAGGGGGAUGGAAUUCCGCGUGUAGCAGUGAAAUGCGUAGAUAUGCGGAGGAACACCGAUGGCGAAGGCAGUCCCCUGGGCCUGUACUGACGCUCAUGCACGAAAGCGUGGGGAGCAAACAGGAUUAGAUACCCCGGUAGUC
rnacentral:rRNA from 1 species